rnacentral:lncRNA from 1 species
UUGAUCAAGGUUCCUACCUGAUCCCGCUUCCUGCAGCAGAGCUGACGAACUGUUCUGAUCUGGGGACCCUCUGUCAAGCUACUGUAAGCCCUCCUACUCCUCCAUCACCCAUUGUCACCACUAAUAUCCCUGUUACUAACAGAAUCCGUAAACAAAAGAAUGACGGAAUAAUGUAUCGAAUAUCUGUUGUGAUUCACAAUGACUUGAAUCACCCUGAAGUAAGAGUGCAGAGCAAAGUAGCCGAAUGGCUCAAUGCAACCUUCCAGAACUGGAACUACACUGUUUAUGUGGUUAAUAUAAG